rnacentral:lncRNA from 10 species
AAUAGCCAUAGUUAUUCCCUCCCCUAUCAUAUCCCUUCACGAUGUGCCUUUGCUGCUCCUCCCAUCAACAGAUGGAGUCUAUUUCUCCACCCCUUGAAUCCACGCUGGUCUUGCGACUUGGCCAAUAGAACGUGGUGCAACCAAGUCCAGGCCUCAAGAGGCCCAGCACACUUCCAUUGCUCCCUUGGAAACCCGUCCAACCUGUGCUGUGAACAUGCCUGGGCCAGCCUCCCAGAGGAGGCGAGAAUGCAAAGCAGAAGGAGCCGUUCCCGCUGAGACCAUCGGGACCAGCUAGUGCCCAGAUGAGCCAGCAGCUCCCUCCAGAUGCAGGGGUGAGGCCCAUUUGAGGCCAGCUGAGCCCAGUCCAGAUCCAAAGAACCAUUCAGACCAUCCACAGACUUUUCUGGAACUGGGAAGUUCAAGGCUGAGGAGCUGCAUCUGGUGAGGGUCUUCUUGCUGGUGGCCUUCUUCUGCAGAGUCCUGAGGUGCUGCAGGGGAUCUUGUGGCAGAGUACUGCUGUGACAAACCACCACAAACCGUGUGGCCAACAACACAGAAAUUCAUCCUCUCAUGGCUCUGGGGGCCAGAAGUCCAAUGUCAAGGUGUCAGGUAGGCCGUGCCCCUCCACAAGCUCCGGGGAGGAUCUCCCCUUUUCUCUUCCGGCUUCUAGUGGCCCCGGGUGCUCCUUGGCUUGUGGCUGCAUCAGUCUGUUCUCUGCCUCCAUCUUCCCAAGCCCUCUCUCCUCUCACUUAUGAGUCUCUCCUCUGCGUAUCUCUAAUGAGGACAUUUAUUGCUAGAUUUAGGGCCCACCUGGAUAAUCCAAGAUGAUCUCAUCCUGGCACCCUUCACUGAAUUAUAUCUGCAGAGUCCUUGUUUUGCAAAUAGGGUCACACUCACAGGUUCUGGGCUUUAGAACAUGAACAUAUCCCUUGUGUUUGGGAAGGGAGCACUAUUCAGCCCUUUCUGGAGGGUUCUUAUGAACAGGUACCUGGCAAUGUCCUCAGAUGCUCAGUGAGGACGCACCUGAGGUUCCAGUCCUGACAGCAAAGGUGACCGCCCUGGACCUCAGUCAGCUCAUCUGCAGAAUGGCUAGGUGAGCUCAAGGGUUUCUUCCUUCUGGCACAUUCCCAGCGCAAAUCCUGUCGGUCCCUCGGCAUCUAUGCUGCUGAUUUGGGUCUACUCCAGGGCUUUACAAAUAUACAUAUCUCUAAGCAUAGAACAUAUAUUUUAUUGUAGUAAAAUACACAUAACAUAAAAUUCACCAUUUUAACCUUUUUGUUUUGUUUUGAGCCAGGGUCUCUCUCUGUCACCCAGGCUGGAGUGCAGUGGCACCAUCACGGCUCACUGCAGCCUCCACCCGCCUCAGCCUCCUGAGUAGUCAGGACCACAGGUAUGCAUCACCACACCCAGCUAACUCUUGUAUUUUUUUUUGUAGAGAUGAAGUCUCAUUAUGUUGCCCAGGCUGGUCUCAAACUCCUGGGCUCAAGCAAUCCACCUGCCUCAGCUUCCCGAAGUGGGAUUACAGGUGUGAGCCACCGUGCCUGGCCCCACUUUAACCAUUUUUAAGUGUGGAAUUCAGUGGCAUUAAGCACACUCAUAUGGUUGUGUAACCAUCACCAUUAUCCAUAUCAUCUUUCACAAAGAUGAAAUAAGAAGACUCAUUCUCAGGCCCCUCGGGCCUCAGAGUGUCCUUCAUGGGUAAAGCAUCUUAUAGAAGAUGCCUCUACUACAGAGCUCACUAUCCUGGUGGAGAUGUGAAGAUCAGGAUGUUAGAAAAGGAGGCAGACAGGACUGAGGAUGGUGGUGAAUCCAAAGCAAUACCCCCGGCUCCUCCUCCUGCAGGAUCUGCCCUGUCUUGUCACCAUGUCUUCUCCUUGCUGUCCACCCGUGUUCUUUUUUCCCCUCUAGACCAGAAGUUCUUAAAGCCUGGUCCCUGGACCAGCAACAUCAGUACCUCCUGGGAGCUUGUUAGAAAAGCAGAUUUUCUGUGCUCACCCCUACCCACUGAAUCAGAAAUGAGGGUGAGGUGUGGUGGCUGUUUCACAGCCCUCCCGGGAUUCUGAUCCAUGCUAAAGAGUGGGAAGCACUGCUCCGGAUCUGCAGAGAAAUCCUGCUUUCAAAGAACUCACUAACGCCCCUACAAAACUACAAUUUUUAUGACUAGAAGCUCUGUGAAUACCUUAAACAAGGAAGCUGACAGAUUUAGUAAGAUCGCGUAGGUCAUGAUCGCAAAUGGGCUGCCCAAGGGCACGUCUUUCCCUUGGGUUUGUGCAUUUGUCCUGCACACAAUUAAAAACAUUUAACUAGUUGCCAGUAUUAAAGAAAUAGAAACUUCCACGUAGAAAUUCAGAUUUUGGCAUUAUUUGAAAUAAUACUGUCUGGCAGUCCUGAUAUGUCUUGGCCUAGGUCCAAGCAUGGGCCACCAUGACUCGAUGCAGGGACUGCCAGGCAGCCCAAGUCCCCCUACGCCCCAAGGCAAGUCCGCCUGGUGAGCCCACCCCCCCAUUUUUAUCUGCACUGACUGCUGUAGGGCUUUCGAGUUGUCAACCUCUGUAUGUGAAGGGGGACCACAAACUGUAGCCCUCUGUGAUUGUUAAUGUUAUAUGUCAGCUUGGCUAGGCCACGGCAUCCAAAUAUUUGGUCAAACACUAGUCUAGAUGUUGUGAAGGUAAUUUCUUUUAGGUGAGAGUAACAGUUAUAUCAGUGGACUUUGAUGAAAGCAGAUUGCCCUCCAUAAUGUGGGUGGGCCUCAUCCAAUCAGUUGAAGGCCUUCAAAGAAAAAAGACUGACUCCCUGCAGGAAGAGGGAGUUCUGCCAGCCUCCACGGUCACAUAAGCCAAUUCCUUAAAAUAAGCCCCUCUCUCUCUCUCUCUCCUCCUCUCUCCACACAUGCAUACAAAACACACACACACACACACACACACACACACACACACACAAAUGGUUCUAUGUCUCUGUAGAAUCCUGACGAACAACCCAUGCUGUGAGUAUUAUUAUUUGUUGGUGACCCUGGACCAUUCAGGCACCAAGAGGUGCAGGAACUCUUCUUCCGUUUGCUGGCAGCUCUUAGGGAUACACGCUCAUUCAAACCAUGCCCUCAGAGAUGGAGGCUGCAAAGCUAAUGAGUAGUAUUAUAAUAUUAAUAACAAGAAAUAAAUAAUC